rnacentral:rRNA from 1 species
UACAGAGGUCUCAAGCGUUGCUCGGAAUGACUGGGCGUAAAGGGCGCGUAGGCGGUUUGUACAGUCAGGUGUGAAAUUCCCGGGCUCAACCUGGGGGCUGCACUUGAUACGUAUGGACUGGAGUGGGGAAGAGGGUCGUGGAAUUCCCAGUGUAGAGGUGAAAUUCGUAGAUAUUGGGAAGAACACCGGUGGCGAAGGCGGCGACCUGGUCCUUGACUGACGCUGAGGCG